CCCCAAACCCCAUACUUAGGUUAGGCACAUGGCACGGCCGCAUAUCUCCUAAAGUAUAAUUUUAGAGUAUAUGCAUGGCCUAAUAAUCCGAAUUAAAAUAUUUAAUAUUAAAAGAUAAAUAAUUAAAAUAAAUAAUUUGGUGUAAAUUUUUAUAAAAUUAAAAAUUAUCCAAAAUACAUGGUUCAGUACCUACAGUAUCAGAUAUAAAAACUUCACUAUUAUUUUCUCUCAUCGAA
rnacentral:lncRNA from 1 species